GCUUAACGCGAAGAACCUUACCAAGGCUUGACAUAUACCUGAAAAGGCUGGAAACAGUCUCCCGCAAGGCAGGUAUACAGGUGGUGCAUGGUUGUCGUCAGCUCGUGUCGUGAGAUGUUGGGUUAAGUCCGCAACGAGCGCAACCCUCGUUCUAUGUUGCCAGCACGUAAUGGUGGGAACUCAUAGGAGACUGCCGGGGUCGAACUCGGAGGAAGGUGGGGAGUGACGUCAAAUCAUCAUGCCCCUUAUGUCUUGGGCUUCACGCAUGCUACAAUGGCCGGUACAAAGGGCUGCAAUACCGCAAGGUGGAGCGAAUCCCAAAAAGCCGGUCUCAGUUCGGAUUGAGGUCUGCAACUCGACCUCAUGAAGUCGGAGUCGCUAGUAAUCGCAGAUCAGCAACGCUGCGGUGAAUACGUUCCCGGGUCUUGUACACACCG
rnacentral:rRNA from 1 species